UCAUUUCUAGAAAAAAUUUACUAGUGAAAUGUACUAAGAAAUUUCAAACCUCAUCAUUUAUUAACUCUAAAAAAUCUGCUAUUCAUCGGUUUUGUUUCGAUUUUGCAAUUAUUAGUAGCAAUAACUAAUUCAAUUCCAUCACGAGGUGGACUUAUAAUCGGUAAAAAAAAAAAAAAAAAAAAAAAAAAACCAUAACGUAUUGAAUUUUGACAUUCAUAAAUUUUUGACCCACACGCUUUAGAUUCAUGUGUAACUUCGAUUUAAUUUCUUUUUGACUCUGCAAGAUUUUGGGAUCACGAUUGCAAUUGCUACAAACUAAAUAGAUCAUUAGUAAAUCGAAUGGAACAAAAAUAUAAUAUUAUAAAAGUU
rnacentral:lncRNA from 1 species